UGGCGGCGUGCCUAAUACAUGCAAGUCGAACGAACUCUGGUAUUGAUUGGUGCUUGCAUCAUGAUUUACAUUUGAGUGAGUGGCGAACUGGUGAGUAACACGUGGGAAACCUGCCCAGAAGCGGGGGAUAACACCUGGAAACAGAUGCUAAUACCGCAUAACAACUUGGACCGCAUGGUCCGAGCUUGAAAGAUGGCUUCGGCUAUCACUUUUGGAUGGUCCCGCGGCGUAUUAGCUAGAUGGUGGGGUAACGGCUCACCAUGGCAAUGAUACGUAGCCGACCUGAGAGGGUAAUCGGCCACAUUGGGACUGAGACACGGCCCAAACUCCUACGGGAGGCAGCAGUAGGGAAUCUUCCACAAUGGACGAAAGUCUGAUGGAGCAACGCCGCGUGAGUGAAGAAGGGUUUCGGCUCGUAAAACUCUGUUGUUAAAGAAGAACAUAUCUGAGAGUAACUGUUCAGGUAUUGACGGUAUUUAACCAGAAAGCCACGGCUAACUACGUGCCAGCAGCCGCGGUAAUACGUAGGUGGCAAGCGUUGUCCGGAUUUAUUGGGCGUAAAGCGAGCGCAGGCGGUUUUUUAAGUCUGAUGUGAAAGCCUUCGGCUCAACCGAAGAAGUGCAUCGGAAACUGGGAAACUUGAGUGCAGAAGAGGACAGUGGAACUCCAUGUGUAGCGGUGAAAUGCGUAGAUAUAUGGAAGAACACCAGUGGCGAAGGCGGCUGUCUGGUCUGUAACUGACGCUGAGGCUCGAAAGUAUGGGUAGCAAACAGGAUUAGAUACCCUGGUAGUCCAUACCGUAAACGAUGAAUGCUAAGUGUUGGAGGGUUUCCGCCCUUCAGUGCUGCAGCUAACGCAUUAAGCAUUCCGCCUGGGGAGUACGGCCGCAAGGCUGAAACUCAAAGGAAUUGACGGGGGCCCGCACAAGCGGUGGAGCAUGUGGUUUAAUUCGAAGCUACGCGAAGAACCUUACCAGGUCUUGACAUACUAUGCAAAUCUAAGAGAUUAGACGUUCCCUUCGGGGACAUGGAUACAGGUGGUGCAUGGUUGUCGUCAGCUCGUGUCGUGAGAUGUUGGGUUAAGUCCCGCAACGAGCGCAACCCUUAUUAUCAGUUGCCAGCAUUAAGUUGGGCACUCUGGUGAGACUGCCGGUGACAAACCGGAGGAAGGUGGGGAUGACGUCAAAUCAUCAUGCCCCUUAUGACCUGGGCUACACACGUGCUACAAUGGAUGGUACAACGAGUUGCGAACUCGCGAGAGUAAGCUAAUCUCUUAAAGCCAUUCUCAGUUCGGAUUGUAGGCUGCAACUCGCCUACAUGAAGUCGGAAUCGCUAGUAAUCGCGGAUCAGCAUGCCGCGGUGAAUACGUUCCCGGGCCUUGUACACACCGCCCGUCACACCAUGAGAGUUUGUAACACCCAAAGUCGGUGGGGUAACCUUUUAGGAACCAGCCGCCUAAGGUG
rnacentral:rRNA from 1 species